rnacentral:lncRNA from 1 species
CCAGCAGCCAUCAGCCUCCUGGGUGCCUUUGUUCCUGGGCCCAAGUUGACUAAGCCAAGCAUAUGCUAAGCAGAUGGGUUAUCCGGAACAGAUAAGUCUUCUCCACCUCCAUCUGCCGUGUCCCCUGAUCCUUUCCUGGCCUUGUGGUUCACUCUCCAUCACCCGGUCCCAUUGUAUCUCACCAGUGCUACUUCAGUAUUGAUCGAGGAGAAGGAAACAACCUUACACUACUUGAGCACUGGGCAUUGAUGGGCAUCCUCCCCUGAGCUGUCUCAUCUUCUCCCGAAAUCUACCAAGGUGGGCAUCAUCCUCAGAACCUUAUAAUUAGA